rnacentral:misc_RNA from 1 species
GAAAUGCGAUAAGUAGUGUGAAUUGCAGAAUUCAGUGAAUCAUCGAAUCUUUGAACGCACAUUGCGCCCUUUGGUAUUCCAAAGGGCAUGCCUGUUCGAGCGUCAUUUGUACCCUCAAGCUUUGCUUGGUGUUGGGCGUCUUGUCUCUAGCUUUGCUGGAGACUCGCCUUAAAGUAAUUGGCAGCCGGCCUACUGGUUUCGGAGCGCAGCAUAAGUCGCACUCUCUAUCAGCAAAGGUCUAGCAUCCAUUAAGCCUUUUUUCAACUUUUGACCUCGGAUCAGGUAGGGAUACCCGCUGAACUUAAGC